UUGAUCCUGGCUCAGGAUGAACGCUAGCGGCGUGCCUAAUGCAUGCAAGUCGAACGGGAUUCUUCGACUUCGGUUGGAGAUGAGAGUGGCGAACGGGUGAGUAACACGUAGGUGACCUGCCCUCGGGAGGGGGACAACCAGUGGAAACGCUGGCUAAUACCCCGGAUGUCAAUCUAGUUAGAGAGGAUUGACUAAAGCUCCGGUGCCCGAGGAGGGGCCUGCGACCCAUCAGCUAGUUGGUAGGGUAAAAGCCUACCAAGGCCGAGACGGGUAGGAGGCGUGAGAGCGUGGCCCCCCACACUGGUACUGACACACGGACCAGAUACCUACGGGUAGCAGCAGCAAGGAAUAUUGCGCAAUGGGCGAAAGCCUGACGCAGCAACGCCGCGUGGAGGAUGAAGGCCUUCGGGUUGUAAACUCCUUUUCUGGGGGAAGAGAGCGGACGGUACCCCAGGAAUAAGGCCCGGCUAACUACGUGCCAGCAGCCGCGGUAAAACGUAGGGUCAAGCGUUAUCCGGAAUUACUGGGCGUAAAGGGCGCGUAGCGGUUGCCAAAGUUGGACGUGAAAGCUCCUGGCUCAACUGGGAGAGGCCGUUCAAAACUAGGCGACUAAGGAUGGUAAGGCAAGUGGAAUUCCCGGUGUANUUGGUUAAAUGCGUAGAUAUUCGGGAGAACACCAUGUGGCGAAGGCGGCUCGCUGGCCCAUAACUGACGCUGAAGGCGCGAAAGCCAGGGGAGAAGAACGGGAUUAGAAACCCCCGGUAUUCCUGCCGUAAACGAUGUCAACUAAGUGUAGAGAGCCGAACAGGCUAGCUGUGCUGAAGCAAACGCGAUAAGUUGACCGCCUGGGGAGUACGGCCGCAAGGCUAAAACUCAAAGGAAUUGACGGGGGCCCGCACAAGCAGCGGAGCGUGUGGUUUAAUUCGAGGCUACGCGAAGAACCUUACCAGGGUUUGACAUGUACGUGGUAGGUAUUGGAAACAAUGCUGACCCUUCGGGGAGCGUACACAGGUGCUGCAUGGCUGUCGUCAGCUCGUGCCGUGAGGUGUUAGGUUAAGUCCUGUAACGAGCGCAACCCUCGUCGUUAGUUACAAGUGUCUAACGAGACUGCCGGUGAUAAGCCGGAGGAAGGUGGGGAUGACGUCAAGUCAGCAUGGCCUAUAUAUCCUGGGCUACACACACGCUACAAUGGCCGGUACAAUGGGCAGCGAAGUCGCGAGACGGAGCCAAUCCUGAAAAGCCGGUCUCAGUUCGGAUUGCAGGCUGCAACUCGCCUGCAUGAAGUCGGAGUUGCUAGUAAACGCGCGUCGGCCACAGUGCGUUGAAUACGUUCCCGGGCCUUGUACACACCGCCCGUCACGUCAUGGAAGUUGGCAACGCCUGAAGUCGGUGGGCUAACCCUAACGGGAGGCAGCCGCCUAAGGCGGGGUCGGUAACUGGGACGAAGUCGUAACAAGGUAGCUGUAGCGGAAGCUGCGGCUGGAUCACCUCCUUA
rnacentral:rRNA from 1 species